rnacentral:lncRNA from 1 species
AUCUUUGCUGAUGAUGAGUCCUUGGGCUGCAUCUAUUUUGAGAUGUUUGUAGACAAGGUUUCAAAGACAGCAGAAAACUUUCAUACUCUGAGCACUGGAGAGAAUGGAUUUGGAUAUAAGGGUUCCUCCUUUCCCAGAAUUAUUCCAGGAUUUAUGUGCAGGGUGGUGAUACCAUGAUGGCACUGGUGGCUGGUCCAUCUACAGAGAGAACUAUGGGGAUGAGAACUCUAUCCCGAAUCUUACAAGUCUUGGCUUCUUGUCCAUGGUAAAUUCUGGAACAAACACAAACAGUUCCCAGUUUUGUUUUUUCUGUACUGCUAGGACUGAGUGACUGGAAGGCAAGCUUGUGUAUGUAUUGUGUUUCACCCUAGGAAGGUGAAAAAAAGGCAUGAGUGUUUUGGAAGCCAUGGAGCACUUUGGGUCUGAGGAUGGCAAGACAAGCAAGAAGAUUACCACUUCCAAUGGUGGA